GAAAUCCGGACUGUUCCCAUGUUCCACUUAUAGCAUUUGGUCCAAUCGCACGCGUCUGACUUUAGACGACGUCUGAUAGCUCCAGAGUCAACAUUACGCUCGAUAACGAUCACGCGCAAACAUUUCUACAUUUAUACGCUGAAAGUUCUUUGAGGCUAAAUGUGCCUGCUUCUUCAGAUUUGUCAUCACUAAUCGCACCCGUCAAAGCUUUCUCGCGAUAUCCACGAGUGUAUUUGCGUCGUUCACUUGGACACUUCAAGUUGACGUUCAUCAAACGUUCCUGAAGAAACCCGCUGGUACCGCUAGACGUCUAUUAAGGCGCACAUUUGUUGCGAUAGACAUCUAACCAUUUCUAAAUAAAUCAGUCAUUUCGGAAAGGAUAUUUUUAUUAAUAUAUACUGUUAGGAAUAUGCUAUUCAUCAAAUUGUAACAUGUAAGUGCAACAUCUGUAAUAAUGACAAUUCGCGCGAUAUACACGUAUCUUCUAAGAUUCAAAAGGCUGAAGACGAGGAACGAUGUCGAAAGAAGAGCGAUUUCGGCAGAGGUGAUCAUUCGGCAGUUGACUUGGUUUAAGUAACGAAGACUAACUACCGAACGUUAAUAACCUUUCCAGGAGUAGAAGCUGCGAGAUGACUAGCUUGGUAUUCGGUUGCUAGUCGCAAGGAAGCAACGCCGCUAUGAAUCCGCAAGCUAGGGCAAGGAAGACAAGGAGGAGGCGGGAGGUAACUUAAUGACGCCGCAUCCGGGAGUCGCCAGGACAUUGUACUUCGCAAAAAAGGAUCUUAUAACGCGUCCACACAGCUGGACCCGCAUACUACGCUCCUCCACGUUCGAAUGGGAGACCCCGAUCCAUUAACGGGCCGGCGCGAACAUUAAUAAUCCGCGCCUUCUCGCCCGGAUUGCCGGUGCGGACGCGCGAGCUGCAAGGUGGCGGCAACCUUGCCCAGAUGGCGUCAAUAAAUCAGAUUCGGGAACGCCGUGCCAGAUUGGACUCGGUUUUUGUCGGAUUGCCGAGCAGCGGCUGUGAUGAUGUAAAAGGGCAUGGGUUGGAAGUUAUGGACGUUAUUGGAGAUGCGUAACGGACGUACGAAAAAUAAGCUGUAUUGCUGAUAUAUUAUUUGUAACUUCUUCAUGAAUGCAUUAAAUUAUUUUCUACAUAUAUAUAAUUGUCAAUAUCGUAUCAAAUAUCAAAAUGGUGUAUGCAUUGAACCAGCAAUUCUGUGAGAAUCGAAUAAAUGCUUGCAACUUCGUGUGAUUUAAAUC